rnacentral:rRNA from 1 species
AGUGAACGCUGGCGGUAGGCCUAACACAUGCAAGUCGAACGGCAGCACAGUAAGCGCUUGCCCUUACGGGUGGCGAGUGGCAGACGGGUGAGGAAUACAUCGGAAUCUACUUUUUCGUGGGGGAUAACGUAGGGAAACUUACGCUAAUACCGCAUACGACCUACGGGUGAAAGCAGGGGAUCUUCGGAACUUGCGCGAUUGAAUGAGCCGAUGCCGGGUUAGUUAGUAGGCGGGGUAAAGGCCGACCAAGGCGACAAUCCGUAGCUGGGCUGAGAGGAUGAUCAGCCACACUGGAACUGGAACACGGUCCAGACUCCGACGGGGGGCCGCAGUGGGGAAUAUUGGACAAUGGGCGCGAGCAUUAUCCAGCAAUGCCGCGUAGGUGAAGAAGGCCUUGCGGUUGUAAAGCACUUUUGUUGGGAAAGAAAAGCUGCAUGUUAAUACCCCGCUGUUCUGACGGUACCCAAAGAAUAAGCACCGGCUAACUUCGUG